rnacentral:rRNA from 1 species
GUAGGUGGCGAGCGUUAUCCGGAUUUACUGGGUGUAAAGGGCGCGUAGGCGGGAAUGCAAGUCAGAUGUGAAAUCCAGGGGCUUAACCCUUGAACUGCAUUUGAAACUGUAUUUCUUGAGUGUCGGAGAGGUUGACGGAAUUCCUAGUGUAGCGGUGAAAUGCGUAGAUAUUAGGAGGAACACCAGUGGCGAAGGCGGUCAACUGGACGAUAACUGACGCUGAGGCGCGAAAGCGUGNAANCCGAA